CUUGUAUUACACCUUUUCCAUAAGAUUUUGUUCCAACUAUUUUUGCUAUUCCAUUAUCUCGUAAUGCUCCUGCUAAUAUUUCUGAAGCACUGGCUGUAUUUUCAUUUAUUAAAACUACUACUGGUACAUUUAUAUAUUUGCUUUGUUUUGCUUUUCUUAUUUCUUCUUUUUCUUUUUUAUCUACUGUUAUUAGUAGUUUAGAAUCUUUAUCUGUAAAAUAAUCUGCAAUAUUAAGAGCUUCUUCAACUAAUCCUCCACCGUUAUUACGUAA
rnacentral:ncRNA from 1 species